UGUGCAGUACGGUUGCCAGCCAGGGCCCUGGCACAUAGUGGGAGCACAGUAAAUGUUGACUUUGGGAGAGAGAGGCCCGAGCUGGUUUGGCAGGCUGGAGAGGGCAAUUUCCUGGGGCUGGCGCGCCCCCUCGCUCCCCAUGCGGCCUCCUCAUUGCACCCCGCACCCCGUUACUCUGCCUUCCUCCCACCGCGGGACCCAGGACAUCCCUCACCUGCCACCUCUUGUCCGGGGUUCAGCCGGGUCCCUCUGGAUCCGGGCGGUAUCAAAAGAGACCCCUUCCCUGCCGGCAGCGCAGGUGAGCCCGCCGCGCACGACUCCGAGGGGGCGGCGGCCCAGCUGGGAAACAGCCCUGAAAUAGACCCCCUGCCGCCCCCGCUGCCUCCUCCCGGAAUCUGCUCAGGUGAAAAACAACCUUCUCACCGCGAGCGUCUCUCCGGGCGUCGGAGCGGGGAGGCGCCGCGCCCUGCGGGCCGCGUGGGCCCGGGCCUGGGUGCCACUCCGAUGCGCGCGGACCCGCCCUGUAGUGAGGGCGCUCGGCCACGGGGCGGCGCUGCUGGUCCGCGAUGGGCUCCCCGCCCGGCUGGUGGGGAGGGAGGCUCCUCGCCCCUUCUCGGCCUGGGGCGCCCCAGAGGUGGUUUCCGUGACUUACGGGGGUGCAGUGGGGCCCUUAAUCCUGAGGCUGCAGAGGCCAGUGCCCCACCCUUCUGCGGGAGCCGCAGAGAGAGAGAAGUGGGGCCGCAUCCCUUCUCUCCGGAUGCUUCCUUUUGUCGCACGUUUCCUAAGCGCGUCCGAGUUCUGAACUGCGGUAGGCGGCGUGUCAGGACCGUCCAACCAUCUGUGUGUCCAUCCGCCCGCCUACCCACGCAACAUUCGUUGCCCACAGGCUGUAAACCAGUUGGACUGAAGAAAUGGUGGUGGUGGGUAAGAUGGGCCCUCCCAGUCGGGGGACAGACCAGUGAAUUGGGUGCCCCCGCAUUCUGGACCAGGGGUGAUGGUUAA
rnacentral:lncRNA from 1 species